ensembl:snoRNA
CUUUCCAUUGAUUUACUACUCUAGUCUUUUAGUGAUAUGAGCAGUUAUACACAUGGGAGAGAACAAUAUUAGGCUGUUGUAAAUGAAGAUGGAAUAACCAUUUCAUCUCUUCUACAAAGUCCAGGUAUUG